UCUUUAAGGUGAGAUAAAGAAAGAAGGUGGAGACAACAGAAAUAGAGGAAUCUGGCAAGUGAGUCAAACAGUGAACAAUGAUUAAGGACAUCCAUUUAAAUCCUAAUAAAAGACACGCUGUGUGUUGUUGGGUACUGUUUCAGCAAAGUAAAUCUCAUGGGUGUUGACCUGAUAGCUGUAACUCCUUUGAGCCGAACAGCUACAGAUGUUCUUGUGUAAAAGAAUCAUGAGAACAUGGCACUACUGUGAAAGUACCUGCAUGAGUAAUAUCUGAAGACCAAUCUGCUCACCUUAAUUGUUUUGUGCACUUAAGAUAUUUUCAGCUGCUGUUUUGUUUAUUUCUAAUAAAACAGGUCAAUGAAUAUCGGUUUCAACAACACACAACGCAUUUUAAAAAUAAACCAAGGAUGUUUAUUUACAUCUGUGACUCCCAAAGUGCUUAUUGAGUCCAAUGAGACUCUAAAAAAUACUUGUAACUUGUUUGUAAUGUCAAGCCUCUCCUCUCUUAAACAGCAAAAAUGAUAAAACAUAGACUUUUGGCAAAGAUUGAUUAUAUCAGCUCUGGCAGUAGGAGUAGCGUAGCUCUAAAAUUUACCAUUACAAUAAUGAUAAUGGUUAUAAAGGUAAGACUAGUGUUAAUAGUAGUAGCAUUUUGAUUAAGACAGGCCUAUUUCUGCCUUCAGUCAGGCCUUGGCAGCAAUGACCCAAGGGAACCUUCUUAAGAAGAGUGCUAAAAAAAAACUCACAAGUUAUAUGAUCAGUAACUUAAAUGAUGCAUGAAGUAAGUAAGUGAUAUGGAGUAAUAUGACAUUGUCUGGGCUUGUGUGUAUCAUUUGUCCAUGCGGUCUAUGCCUGUAGUAGUGCAAUUAAGAGCUGGGCCAAACCUGAUCUGGCACUGACUAUACGUUUUAUCAAAUAAGAAAAAAGGUUAGAUUACCUUUGAGUGUAGAAAAAGCAUCAUCCACCCAAAGCCUGCUUGGUAGAUAUUCCAAAGGAGUCUGAUAACUGAAGGCCCUCAUUAGGUAUUGCUAAUAUUCCUGUUUUUUUUUUUAGCUUUCUGAGAAAAAAUGGUGCCUGACCAUAAUGAGAUUUAUGGUUGGGAAUAAGGAUUUUUAAAUUCUGUUUGAGUUUUGUAUGUAGCCAGUGUUGCAAAGCUAAUAUUUGGGAGUUGUACUCUUUCAUUUUCUGGUUCUAUUUAGUACACAUACUGCAGAGUUUGGGACCUGGUCAAGAGUUCUUUAGACUGUUAUUUAGGCAGGCUGCUUAAUGGAAAUUAUAAUAAUUCCACCUAGAAGUAAAGUAAGUGCUGACUAGUUCUUCAAAAUGAUUUCAAGAUUCGCUGUUUCACCACCAUGUCUCAAAUUGAUCCCGCCGACUGAAAUUAUUCAUCCACCACUUCUCCAUCCUCAGUCUGCUCAGCUGGUGUUCAUCUUCUUCUGUUAAUAUGCAACUGCAAGCAGAUGGAGCACCAGCACAAGUGUUCAAAAAUAGUACAUCAUAAUUAUCAGUCGCUUAUCAGAUCAAGACUACAUUUUCUGCUCUUGUCUGGCACAUUAAUUUUGCAGCCACAGCAGGGAUCGUGAUCAGUUUCUGAGAGAUCUGGUUAUCGCUCCAAAAACUCGUAUUAUUAAGUUGUGGUGGCGUAUUUCCAUUUCACCAAACGGGCAAACAACUUGAGUUGGAAAACCAAUAACUAAUGCAGUUAAGUUAAAAUUUCAUAACUCAUUAUGAUAAGUGGAAGUAGAUGAUAGAAACAAGUAAUGAUAGAUUGUUAAGCUUAUCACUUUUUACAGUUGAGUAAUCAAAAGUACCAAACGCUUCAGUUUUUUAUUGUCAUCUUUUGGUUAUGUUUCGUUGUGAAUGGUGUAGGAAUAUCAUAAUAUAAGAAAAACUAAUCCAUCAAAAGUUUACAUAUGCCUUGCACUGAGUAUGUUUUGCUUGUUUCACAGAGAGGAUGUUUUUCUGCCUGUUACCGAGCCAGAAUUUGAAGAUUUUUUUAAUCUUUUGAUUUCUGUUUUUCACAGUUUUAUAGUUUAUCAUUCAGCCGAGGCCUAUUGUUCCUAUUUCUUCUGCUUUGACAAAAAACUCCAAUGAGAAUCACAGAAGUCAUUCUCGCUUGUCAUGCACAUUGUCUCUUCUUUUUUCAAAACCCACAUCUGUUCUCACAUGCGAGUGCUUUUUUUCCAAUUUCCUUGUUAAUUAUAAUUAUCAGCCACAUAUCCGAGAGUGUUUGAGACAAAAUGAAAAUUUCCCUUGGAAUCCUCUUAGCUCUGCCACUUACAGAUUAUAUAUGCAGAGGAUUAAUCAAACCCAUUUUAUCCACUGGUUUGAUUUAAAGGCUUUUGUCUACCAACUAUCUGCUGUGUCUCUAACAAAGCAAUGACUGUCUGCGCAGAGCUUUCAAACAAGCCACGUUAAACGGACUCACGUGUCCCUCGUUGUGAGAAUCACACUUUGACUAAAGGGACAUUGCAAUCUCAUUUCACCUGAUCUGUUCAACAGAGAGGUCAGAGGUCACAUCACAUGUACAAAGCAGCAGCUACAUCGUCUGAAAGGAUGCAUACAGAGAUUUGUCAAAAGGCUUGUUACUAGGCAAGAAUAGAGAUGAGACAAAAAUCAGCUGUGCUCUCAUACGACUGCAAGAAGGAGCAUUAUACAGAAAAUUACAGGCUCCUGUUGAAGCAGACUGACUGUAACUUUAUUAAGAUAUCCUAAAACUACACAGACUGCAACACAGAUAUCCAUGACAACUGCAGUUAAUAUCGUUCAUGUUUAACAAAUAUGUUUCAUUAUUUGACCUGCACUCAAUAUACCAGAAUGUAAGACUAGCCUCAUUAAUAACUCCAACCCCAAACACACAAACACUUUCAAAUUAUAAAUUUAUUCAAUUUUUCAGCAACACACUCACACACACUCCUGGAGGACCACGGUGGGAUUUUCCCUGACUGUUGGUAUUUUUAAGACAGUAAUUUUAGGUUUGCUUUAGGCAGAUAUUAUUCUCUUUAACAGGAAAUUUCGGGGCCGCAUGACUUUUUUUUUUCAAUAACUUCUGUAUUGAUAAUUAAGAUCUUAAAAUCUGCAUCACUCUGCCUCAGUUAUUAAACUAACACUUUUUCCUGAACACUCACUGUGUCUCUCCGUAUUUCAUCCUCCUGGUACUGGAGCUGUGAGUGAUGGUGUAGCGGCUCCAAAGACCAACCUUGUCGCUUGAGAGGAAAGUUGAGGGUCCAAUAUUUGUCGGACGCGCUAUCGCUUUCUCCAUAGACAUGCAAGAGGCUUGUGAUGCACCUUAUGGGGUAUUUAAUGAAACAUCUGCUAGUGGUCACACACACAGGACUCCUUUUGAUACACACCAGGAACAAACAAAGGGCAAACCAAAGGCAAUGCUAUGCUACGUAUACUAUGAUGCGAUGUUAAGUGAAGCGAAGCGGUCAACAAAAAUUAUGGCUACCCCGCGGCUCCCCUCUCUCUCCACCUGGCUGCAGGUAAGCCACGUCUUUUCAUAACUACCCAGCAUUCACCCCAUGCCCCACGCGACCCAAGCUCCCGUACGUUACCACAGCAACCACAAACACCACGUGACACAUACUGACUUACUACCUUAUGGCUCCUACAGAUGGUUAGCUUCAGAUAAUGGCUCUUCCUCUGUUGUGAUUACAUAAUAUUUAGAAGACUAAACCACACAUAUAAGACAACCAUUUUUUUAAUAUGUCAAGGGACAUCUGAUGUUUUGUCAAUAUCAUCCUGAAAAAAACAUUUUUUAAAUUCUUGUUUGUUAGUUUUUUCCAUUUUUGAUCUUUAACCUUCGUCUUACGCUGCCAUGCUGGUGUUAAGUAUCCAGGGAUCACAUUAAGGCUAAGCAAUUACUUCCAGGAACCAGUACAUCAUACUUGAAAGACUAGCCAUCAUGAUAGGUUUCAGAGAUCAUUUUGCUUGGAGUACACCACAGCAGCUGAUAAGGGUAAAUGGCCUGUUACACAAGCAACUUCAGUGAGGCCUUGAGCCCAUUCUUGACAAACAGCUCAGUUCAAACCACUCCAGAUGCAUCCCUGGGAAUGUGCCACAUUUCUAUGUCAUAUUUACAACAUGUUGAACUCAAGCACAAUUCACAUGCUCAUGGACUUCUAAAUCGGGUCAAACUCUCACUGCUUCAAGUGUUGUCAUCAUGCUUGAGGUAGCUUAAACAACCUUGCUGCUUUAUUAUUUGAGAAUCUGAAGACUGUGCUACACCUCCUCUUCAUAGUAACAUAUACAGUAACUCUGUAUACUUGUAUUGAUCCUUGUAAUAAGUGCGGGUGAAAUUUACUUAGAAAAUUAGCUGAAUAGAGGCAACUCGAGAAAGCUUUGGCCCGCUCUUUCACAGUCUCCAAAAGUCUCUCCUUCCACAGCCAGUCUCGUCUCUAUUCUCUCUCCUUUCUACCUUUGAACUUCUCUUUCAUUUUUUCUCUUCUUUCAUCGUCUCUUUUUUUUUUUUUUUUUUUUUGAAGAUAUUGGAGGAAUGCCAAAGUCUUCAGACAGAGAAGUCAGAUAUGAGCAGCGCCGCAUUCCAGCUUGCUCUACUGUGUCGGGUGGACAGGUUGGAAAGGCCAGUGGAGGCACGUGACUCUUCUGGUGACAGAUGGGAACAGGGCCUGGAGGAAUCCACCUCUGUCCCCAUUACCCCCAACCCUAAACUCACCCCACCUGACUGGGAGAUUUCAGAUUCUCAUGCUUUCACUUUCUUGUGCUGUUUUAUGUCUUAGCUCCUGGUCAAAGUCAAGUUUAGGCAUGUAAAAGCAUAGCCAGAGCUGAUAUUUUAAAUCUUUUGGGUUCUUUUUAAACAGGGAUGAUAAAAAAUCAGGAAAAUGAUUCAGCAGAAAGGUGUGAGAUGGUUGUGUAUAAUGUGGAUAUCAUUCUCACAAUAAAAUCAAUUCUCUUCUUUUAGGCUUUCUAAGGUUUUUUUUUCUUCUGUUACACUUGGUGUCUGAUUUUUCUGUCUAGGAAGGCUUUUCACUUACAUUCAGUAUAAGCUCUCACAAAACGGUACUACAUUUUCUUUAUAAUCCACUUCCCAAAUCCAAAUUUGUUGCACAUGAACACAAUUUCAAGGAACCAGGGUUUACAUUAUACCCGACAUUGUUAUUCUGUUGUAUUGAAUUUCUGUGUUUCAACACUCAGUUUCAUAAAGCUGUUGUCCUUUCACCAGUAUGCACACCACACACACACACAUACACACAGUCAAUGUACUGUACAAUCCCAUUUAAUCACAAGAAUCACGACUGGGAGCAUUCCUGUCACACUAAGUUAGUACGAUUUGCUUAUUAGAGCAAACAAUGGUAUCUGUCAAUUUCAUUUUCAUAAGCUGAGGGAUUACAGAGUGAUGUGCUGAUCCUCUGUGUCCAGUCCAGCACACUGUGAAUCCAUGGCUUUCCCACGUCUGAACUUCAUGUGAUUUUGUAGAGCUGAUUGUCACAUGCAAUCAAAUCCUGCUCGAGUAUCCUAUCGGGCGAUUCUCUUUUCCCUGCACAUCAAUGGAAAUGGCUGCUGUGUGAAAGAAGGUACUGAGAGUUGAAUUUUCCCUUACUCUAAAUACUGCUUCACUCACACCUUUUUCAUUUUCAGUAUUUUUACGAGAUAUGGGAUACCUGCAAAACCCAACAAAGCCGAAAAAAAAAAGUUUUUUUUGUGAAACUAUUUUGUUAUGACAAAACUAUGACCAAAACCAUCCACAAAAAAAACAAACCAUGAUAAACCAUUAUAUUAUAUGUCUCUAAUAUCCCUUUUUAUAAUGUAAUGGCAAGACCCAUGCUGCAUGUGAUACGUUAACCAUAUCGAAAAUCACUAUUAACUGUUGAAGGGGGGGACUCAGUUAAAAUAACAAACCCUACCACCGUGACUGUGCACACCAGAUAAAAAUUAUAUCAACAUUAGAAGCAAAAUCAUCAAAAUUCAUUAUAUAUUAGUGCAAUGCAAUAGCUAAUAGACCUGAUUAGCUGAUCAGUGUGCUGCAGGUGGAGUAAUGUGCUGCAUUCACAAAACAGAGUUAAAGAAAGUGUCUUUCUGGAAGCAAAGUAAAGCUGUGAGACGGCCUCUUACAUGGACAUAACAUGAACACUGGUAUGAAACCACUGAGAAGGGUUUUUGUUUCUGCCACGUCAUCAUGGUACCAUUAUUCAUAUUACACAACACCCUCCUAGAUAUUAUUGCUAUUACAGAGAAGCCUCUGUUCAAAGCGGCUGACUCCUCUUUUAAUAACCCGCUGCACCUGAAAGUCUGCAUAGCUUAGUCCUUCAUAGUGAUAUGCUGAUUCAGUGUACUGAACCCAAUGACUGUACCUGAGAAAUGAUUAAAGGCAUGCAAACACACAAAUAUGGACAAACAGUUCUGCAGGAUGAAAACAUAAGUUGCUGUUCAAAAUGCUGAGUCAGUUACUGUUAAGUAUAGAAACAUCACCAAGGUUGGCGUGUCCUAAAAAGCAAAAAACUUUACCAGAUGUGCAGUUAAUUUCCUCUCAAACCUUCAAGAAAUACUACAACACACGCGUACACAAAUGCAAGCACACUUCACGGGAAUCAUUGCAUAAAAAAGCGUAUACAUGAAUAUGAAUGACUGAAUAUGAGCUAUGUUUAUGAGCAGACAUUAGCCGCAGGGUAAGAUUACUCGGUGUCUUUGUUUUUAUGAAAACCCUCUUGGUGCACCUGCACUGUGUUUGUUUGCUUUUGUGUUAAAAGUAUGUGCAUGCAAAGGAAUUUGUGAGCUUGUUUGUGAGGAGAUUAUUUUGUGUGUGUGUGUGUGUGUGCGUGUGCAUGUGUGUGUGUGUUUCCAGGUGGAGGAAAGAGGGGGCAGCGUGCAGCAAGAGACCAGAGAAUGAAGUGAAGGAAACGGGAAGGAAAUGACGAAGGAUUGUUCUCUGAAACUGCAAAAACUGCCACUCUCCCCUUUGUUGUCCCGUGUGGAAACUUGGACACACAUUCCCACACAAACACGCACACAACCUGUUGUUGUUGUGACUAUGAUGAAAACUGUGAUACACAGGAUCUGAGACACAGGAUGGAAAACAGUGGACCUAGAGAACAGUGAGAGAGAAAGA
rnacentral:lncRNA from 1 species